AGGGCAGAAAUAACUUGUUUCAUACCAUCCUGAUGUUUCUCUACAUUAUCAAAACCAAGGAGUCGGGCAUGCUGGGGAGAGUGAAUCUAGGUCUUUCGGGAGUGAAUGUACUCUGGAUCUUCGGGGACUGAGUUUGUCAUGUUAUCAGAGGAAAACACUGCACAAGCCUUGGGAUGUGAUAAAGACUGUUUUUUUUACUUUUAUAUUCUUGUGAUGUUGCAUGUUUUUGAGAUGCAUUGUACUGUCACAUUACUUGCAACCUUAAUGCAAAUACAGAUUAAACAGUCAUUUUAGCUGAAGAAAAUGUUUUAAAUUUCAACACUGAGAUAUUUAUGACUUGAAACAGUGUCAAAAUGGAUCUUGUUCCACUGGAUUUUGUAUACGUAUUUCAUUCAUCAUACAAGAAAAACAAUGUAGUUAUUCAUGAAUGUAAAUUCUUUAUGGUUAGUUUGGAUGGGUGGACACUGCAGAAGUUAUGAUUUUUUAUGAGUUAUGAAGUAGUUAUUGGUAGUUUUUCUUCAUGCACUUGAAAUGACAUGCAACCAUGAAAGCAUAAGUCAUAUGUACUUUUAAUAAUGAUCAUUUAUUUGCUCUCAGUGACGGGCUUUUCUUAUUUCUCUUCACUGUUAUUUUGACAAAAUACAGAAGAG